rnacentral:rRNA from 1 species
AAUGGCCGCAGUAUUUUGACUGUGCAAAGGUAGCAUAAUCAUUAGUUUCUUAAUUAGAAACUGGAAUGAAAGGUUGGACGAGAAAAUAGCUGUCUCUUUAUAAAUUAGUUAGAAUUUUAUUUUUAAGUUAAAAAGCUUAAAUUUUUUUAAAAGACGAGAAGACCCUAUAGAGUUUUAUUUAUAAGUUUAACUAAAAAAUUAAUUAGUAUAAAUAAAAUUUUAAUUAAUAAUAAAUUUAGUUGGGGUGAUUAAAAAAUUUAAAAAACUUUUUUUUUAUGAUAACAUUGAUUUAUGAAUUAGUGAUCCAUUUAAUAUGAUUAUAAGAUUAAAUUACCUUAGGGAUAACAGCGUAAUUUCUUUUUAGAGUUCAAAUCACUAAAGAAGUUUGCGACCUCGAUGUUGGAUUAAAAUUUAUUUUUGGUGUAGAAGCUAGAAUAUUAAGUCUGUUCGACUUUUAAAAUUUUACAUGAUCUGAGUUUAAACCGGUGUGAGCCAGGUUGGUUUCUAUCUUUAAAUUAAUAAUAUAUUUUAGUACGAAAGGACCAAAUAUAAUAAAUAUUUUAUUUAAAUUGAAUUUUAUUAAAU